UAAAAAAUUAGGAAAAAUCGGUGCAAAAUAGGUAAUUAGGGUUUGAGAUUGAGAGAUCUUAAAGUGGAUAUUUGAGGGGUCAAUUAAACCCGUAUUUCUAUAUUCUUGAUAUUGAUAGACUCGUGAGAAUAGGAAGACUCUGAAAAUGUAAGUUUUACCCGAUUCCAAGAUGUGGGCCUGAGGGGCAUUUUGGUAAUUUAAC
rnacentral:lncRNA from 1 species